AACGAACGCUGGCGGCAUGCCUAACACAUGCAAGUCGAACGAGACCUUCGGGUCUAGUGGCGCACGGGUGCGUAACGCAUGGGAACCUGCCUUUAGGUUCGGAAUAACUCAGAGAAAUUUGAGCUAAUACCGGAUAAUGUCUUCGGACCAAAGAUUUAUCGCCUUUAGAUGGGCCCGCGUUGGAGUAGCUAGUUGGUGGGGUAAAGGCCUACCAAGGCGACGAUCCAUAGCUGGUCUGAGAGGAUGAUCAGCCACACUGGGACUGAGACGCGGCCCAGACUCCUACGGGAGGCAGCAGUGGGGAAUAUUGGACAAUGGGCGAAAGCCUGAUCCAGCAAUGCCGCGUGAGUGAUGAAGGCCUUAGGGUUGUAAAGCUCUUUUACCCGAGAUGAUAAUGACAGUAUCGGGAGAAUAAGCUCCGGCUAACUCCGUGCCAGCAGCCGCCGUAA
rnacentral:rRNA from 1 species